rnacentral:rRNA from 1 species
UACGUAGGGGGCGAGCGUUGUCCGAAGUUACUGGGCGUAAAGCGCGCGUAGGCGGCUCUUUAAGUGGUCGGUGAAAUCCCCGGGCUCAACCCGGGAGGGUCUGGUCAUACUGGAGAGCUAGAGUGCGGGAGAGGUGAGUGGAACUCCUGGUGUAGCGGUGAUAUGCGUAGAGAUCAGGAAGAACACCCGUGGCGAAGGCGACUCACUGGACCGUAACUGACGCUGAGGUGCGAAAGCCAGGGGAGCGAACGGG